AUAGCCUUGAACGCCGUCGUU
rnacentral:miRNA from 1 species